AGGCCUUGUGGUAAACAGCAAGCACUUUAUGAUGGAAUGAAGCCCUGCCGAGCUCAGAGAAAUUAGGCUCAACUGCCACCAACUGCCCCCUGUCGGGAUUCCUGGCCUCUGAUUGGGCCCCAUCGCUUCCCAUCCCCUUGGAGACAGAACUGCUGCUCCGCACGGAGUACCCGGCCAGGCCUCCUCCUCGCAGCCUUCUUCGUCCCUCUCCCUGGGGCCUCUGGGUUCAUCUCAAGGACGAGUCUCUCGCUCUGCCUGCCACCGCGCAAGGCCUCGGGUGUCCUCUGCAGGUCCUCCGUCCACUCUGUCCCAGUGUCCCUCUCUAGCUGUGAGUUCCUCGCGGGUGGAGACUGUCACUUUUCUUCUACAUCUUUCUUCUUCUACAUCUACAUUUCUUUCUACAUCUGUGAGGCGUAGGCCAGGCCACAGUAGGGACAAACAGGCGCUGAAGCCACGUCCCCUCCUCCCGAGGAGACCGUCCCAGCAGUUCCCUCUCAAGCCCCCGCCCCACACCCCCUGCCUGCAGACACUCUCCGUAGCGGGGACCUCGGCUUGAAGACCCACGGGCCAGCGCAAGUUGACAUGCUGCUGAAGCUCAAAGUACAGCAGCGCAGGGCGGGUGAGCGCACUACGGGAAAGGACUGGAGAGGUGGCAGGAGAGGUGGCAGGGGCGGGUGUUUAGCAAAAUCUCUCCUCCCCCAUACAAGACAGGCUCAGAAAGCCAGAUGGAGGAAGAGAGCCCAGGAACCUGGAAAGGGUGAGAGGGCUGAGGCCCGGUGCUGGCCCUCCGGCUGCAGAACUCGGGUCUGUGGAGAGGCAAUAGGGCAGCUCCCAUGGGCAGAUGGGGAGCAAAGCACCAACGGCCACCCCAGAGGCCACCCGCAGCGGCUGGACCUGAGGCUUGGAACCAGCUGCAAGGCGAUGGGGCUGCGGCAGGAGAACGCAGGAACCAGGUGCACGGGAUGGAGAGGCAGAAUCGGGAGCCUCUUAUGAGACCUGAGUGACCGCACUCACAUCAAGGGCAGCCCCUGAAGGGCAACCGAUGGCACGAGUACUAAUGGGGACCUCUUGGCACUGGGGAGCCACCGCGUGCUUUUUAAUCAGGGAAGUGACAAAAUGGUGUCUAUAUCCAGAGGAGGAUGGAUCUUGCAAGACGAAGAGAUUAGAAACCGGCCAAAAUGUCCUUGGCUCCCUGGGGAGCUUAUCAAACAUUCAGAAAGUGCUUUGGGCAAAUUCUGAAAGCAUCAGUUGAAUGGCUCCAUCCUGCUUUGGAGACUGCAGAUAUCUAAGGCAAUAAACUGCCGUUUGACAAGGAGUAGUUUCUCUAAUCUU